rnacentral:rRNA from 1 species
AUUGAACGCUGGCGACAUGCCUUACACAUGCAAGUCGAACGGUAACAGGUUAAGCUGACGAGUGGCGAACGGGUGAGUAAUAUAUCGGAACGUGCCCAGUCGUGGGGGAUAACGUAGCGAAAGCUACGCUAAUACCGCAUACGAUCUACGGAUGAAAGCGGGGGAUCGCAAGACCUCGCGCGAUUGGAGCGGCCGAUAUCAGAUUAGGUUGUUGGUGAGGUAAAAGCUCACCAAGCCUGCGAUCUGUAGCUGGUCUGAGAGGACGACCAGCCACACGGGAACUGAGACACGGUCCAGACUCCUACGGGAGGCAGCAGUGGGGAAUUUUGGACAAUGGACGCAAGUCUGAUCCAGCAAUGCCGCGUGCAGGACGAAGGCCUUCGGGUUGUAAACUGCUUUUGUACGGAACGAAACGGUGAGCUCUAAUACAGUUUGCUAAUGACGGUACCGUAAGAAUAAGCACCGGCUAACUACGUGCCAGCCGCCGCCGUAA